GACAGAGGGGGCAAGCGUUGCUCGGAAUCACUGGGCGUAAAGGGCGCGUAGGCGGGAUGGCAAGUCGGUCGUGAAAUCCUUCGGCUCAACCGAAGAACGUCGGCCGAUACUGCCGUUCUUGAGGGAUGCAGAGGAGAUUGGAAUUCCCGGUGUAGCGGUGAAAUGUGUAGAGAUCGGGAGGAACACCGGUGGCGAAGGCGGGUCUCUGGGACGUUACUGACGCUGAGACGCGAAAGCGUGGGGAGCAAACAGG
rnacentral:rRNA from 1 species